CAGCAGCCACGGGAACACGGAGGGGGCUAGCGUUGUUCGGAAUUACUGGGCGUAAAGCGCACGUAGGCGGCUUUGUAAGUUAGAGGUGAAAGCCUGGAGCUCAACUCCAGAAUUGCCUUUAAGACUGCAUCGCUUGAACACGGGAGAGGUGAGUGGAAUUCCGAGUGUAGAGGUGAAAUUCGUAGAUAUUCGGAAGAACACCAGUGGCGAAGGCGGCUCACUGGCCCGUUGUUGACGCUGAGGUGCGAAAGCGUGGGGAGCAAACAGGAUUAGAUACCCCAGUAGUCCCUGUCUCUUAUAC
rnacentral:rRNA from 1 species